AAAGAUCUCCCUGGACACAAAAAAGCAAACUUCUUCAUACGGCAUUUUAGAAUAAUAGUUAAUAUUUGCCUACAGCAGAUGGUUCUGAGCUGGCAAUGUAGGGGUGGCCAGGGGGAAAUGGGGUGACAGAAUCCCGGGAACUGGUGAGAGAGUCACUGAAAUAGAUGACCUUGGAGUCAGGCUGGAUGGGGAGGCCAAGGUGGGUGGCAAGGGAAAUGAGAGCAAGUUGUAUAUUUUCCCUAUCCAAAUCUCAUGUUGAAAUUUAAUCCCCAAUGUUGGAGGUGGAGCCUAGUGGGAAGUGAUUGGAUUGUGGGGGCAGAUUUCUCAUGAGUUAUUUAGUGUCACCCCCUUGGUGCUGUCCUUGUUAUAGUAA
rnacentral:lncRNA from 1 species